rnacentral:rRNA from 1 species
UACGAAGGGAGCUAGCGUUGCUCGGAAUUACUGGGCGUAAAGCGCACGUAGGCGGUCUUUUAAGUCGGGGGUGAAAUCCUGGAGCUCAACUCCAGAACUGCCUUCGAUACUGGCGAUCUUGAGUCCGGAAGAGGUGAGUGGAACUCCUAGUGUAGAGGUGGAAUUCGUAGAUAUUAGGAAGAACACCAGUGGCGAAGGCGGCUCACUGGUCCGGUACUGACGCUGAGGUGCGAAAGCGUGGGGAGCAAACAGGG